AAAUUGAAGAGUUUGAUCAUGGCUCAGAUUGAACGCUGGCGGCAGGCCUAACACAUGCAAGUCGAACGGUAACAGGAAGAAGCUUGCUUCUUUGCUGACGAGUGGCGGACGGGUGAGUAAUGUCUGGGAAACUGCCUGAUGGAGGGGGAUAACUACUGGAAACGGUAGCUAAUACCGCAUAACGUCGCAAGACC
rnacentral:rRNA from 1 species